UAAACCACACUCUUCAGACCUUUGCCA
rnacentral:piRNA from 1 species